GGGCACGACACCGGAGAGGGAGCCUGAGAAACGGCUACCACAUCCAAGGAUGGCAGCAGGCGCGCAAAUUACCCAAUCCCGACACGGGGAGGUAGUGACAAUAAAUAACAAUACGGGGUUCUUUAGGAUCUCGUAAUUGGAAUGAGUACAAUUUAAAUCUCUUAACGAGGAACAAUUGGAGGGCAAGUCUGGUGCCAGCAGCCGCGGUAAUUCCAGCUCCAAUAGCGUAUAUUAAAGUUGUUGCAGUUAAAAAGCUCGUAGUUGAAUUUCGGGGUUAGUAGGUUGGUCAUGCCUCUGGUAUGUACUGGUCUCACUGAUUCCUCCUUCCUGAUGAGCCGUAAUGCCAUUAAUUUGGUGUUGCGGGGAAUUUGGACUGUUACUUUGAAAAAAUUAGAGUGUUUAAAGCAAGCUAACGCUUGAAUACAUUAGCAUGGAAUAAUGAAAUAGGACGUUCGAUCCUAUUUUGUUGGUUUCUAGGAUUGACGUAAUGAUUAAUAGGGAUAGUUGGGGGCAUUAGUAUUCAAUUGUCAGAGGUGAAAUUCUUGGAUUUAUUGAAGACUAACUACUGCGAAAGCAUUUGCCAAGGAUGUUUUCAUUAAUCAAGAACGAAAGUUAGGGGAUCGAAGACGAUCAGAUACCGUCGUAGUCUUAACCAUAAACUAUGCCGACUAGGGAUCGGCUGAUGUUAAUUUUUUAAUGACUCAUUCGGCGCCUUACGGGAAACCAAA
rnacentral:rRNA from 1 species